rnacentral:rRNA from 1 species
CAGCCGUAAACUAUGCGCGUUAGGUGUAUCGGUGACCACGAGUUACCGAGGUGCCGAAGGGAAACCGUGAAACGUGCCGCCUGGGAAGUACGGUCGCAAGGCUGAAACUUAAAGGAAUUGGCGGGGGAGGCACAACAACGGGUGGAGCCUGCGGUUUAAUUUGGACUCAACGCCGGACAACUCACCGGGAACGACAGCAAUAUGUAGGCCAGGCUGAAGACCUUGCCUGAAUCGCUGAGAGGAGGUGCAUGGCGUAGACGUCU